GCUGGGCGCGGUGGCUCACGCCUGUAAUCCCAGCACUUUGGGAGGCUGAGGCGGGUGGGUCACCUGAGGUCAGGAGUUCAAGACCAGCCUGGCCAACAUGGUGAAACUCCGUCUCUA
rnacentral:SRP_RNA from 2 species